rnacentral:rRNA from 1 species
GACAGAGGGUGCAAACGUUGCUCGGAUUUACUGGGCAUAAAGCGCAAGUAGGCGGUCUUGUAAGUCGGGUGUGAAAACCCGGGGCUCAACCCCGGCAGUGCACACGAUACUGCGAGACUGGGGUACUGAAGAGGAGAGCGGAAUUCUCGGUGUAGAGGUGAAAUUCGUAGAUAUUGGGAAGAACACCGGUGGCGAAGGCGGCUCACUGGCUCGUAACUGACGCUCAGGCGCGACAGCGUGGGGAUCAAACAGG